rnacentral:misc_RNA from 1 species
GGUCCAAGUAAGCAAAUUCGAAAUUGAGAAAGGUCUUUCAGAAAGACUCGAACUUUGAGCUCCCUGCAGCAUUCAAAACCCAUAAAUUCACAGCCAAUUCUUUGUUACCCAAGCGAAAAUUCAAUCUUCAACGCUCCAAAAGACGGACAACAGGUGCUUCAAAACUGCAAUUUUGAGCCCUCAUAACGAUUUUGAGAAGGUACGUUGAGUACUUCAAAUUUGGAGUAGUAAUCUUUUUGAGAGAUAUAGGGAUUAGUUUUACGAGAAAUUUGAGGUUUAAAAGAGAAAUUUGAGUGAGAAUUCAGAAACAGAUAUUUGAUUGAGCGAGGAGAAAACG